rnacentral:lncRNA from 1 species
CUUGGUGUUCUGCAAGACACAUGGAAGGCCUGAAGAAAAAUUCUAGCCACUGUCUGGCCGUUGUGUGUUUACCUUAGAUGUUCUCCUCCUUAACUCCUGGGUCUCAGUCCCAGGGAGUCAACAUAGAAGGCAUUCAGACCAGCUCCAUGGUCCUGGCCCUGGCCCAGUGCUCUCUGCCAGAUUCUAAACACACCUGCUAAACAGAUUCUUUUCUCUCAGCACUCUGCUGACAUUUUCAGCUGGAACCAAAGUCCCUCUCUUGGUCCACAGCAUUCCUCCGCCUGCUCACUGGAUCAUUUGUCCACCCCAUUCCUCAGGAGCUGCUCCUUGAUUCUGACUGGAAAUUCCUUCUAAAUCAAAAGAAAACCUGAUCCAAACCUGAGGGACGGCUGGGAAAUGAUUGAAUGUUAAUCAUCUUCUGUAGGAAAAAACGAAAGCAAGAGCUUCCUGUUCAGAGUUCUUCCUCCUUCUCCUUGGGACCAGGGGCCUUCACCUGAAGUUGACCUGAGGUGUCAUGCACAUUUGACACAUGAAAAAAACUCAGAAAAGCUCAAGAAUUUGUCCGAAGACUCCUAAUUGGUGACUGGGCUAGAUGGACCCCAAGCCUGUGGUUAGGGGGUUUCACCUGUCACCUCUAACAAAGAUGUAGAUGACUGAGCCAGUCACCUCCAUGGAAUUCAGCCUGUAGAAGGGAUAUCCGAGAUGACAAGGGCCUCUGCCAAAUAUGUGGUGUGUGGAGGAGGAUUCAAAGAAGACUAUCAUAAAGGAAGAAAACAACGAGAACAAACAUGCCGGUGUGUUGUUCUAAGUGUUUGCCUCAAGAAAAGGAAAUGGUUCCAUUUACCCAAGCACAUCCACAUUUCCCAUAAGCUCUGCAGUCAUGAUCUUGAAGUGAAAUCUCAAAACUGAAUUUCUAAGAGGAGCAGUUGGAAACUGAUGCUUGAUGAAGGGAAGGAAAAGCUUUUACUCAAUUAUCUACAAUAACAGCAGGAGAAAUGCUGAAAAUUACUGACACAGUAAAUGGAUUUUUGCAUAAAUGUUCUCUGUUUUCAAGUUUACCUUUGUGUGAAAGACCUUUAUGAUGAAGAGGUCCCUCUGUCCCAUCUCUUGUUUGUUAAAGAAUAGAAGAUCGAUUUUUUUUGUUGGAGUCAAUGGAAAAAUCACUGUGGAAGAUUGUUU